rnacentral:rRNA from 1 species
CGCAAGCCUGACGGAGCAAGACCGCGUGGGGGAGGAAAGCCUUUGGGUUGUAAACCCCUUUUCUCAGGGAAGAAGAUCUGACGGUACCUGAGGAAUCAGCAUCGGCUAACUCCGUGCCAGCAGCCGCGGUAAUACGGAGGAUGCAAGCGUUAUCCGGAUUUAUUGGGCGUAAAGCGUCCGCAGGCGGCUAAUCAAGUCUGCUGUUAAAGGCCGAGGCUUAACUUCGGUUGAGCAGUGGAAACUGAUUAGCUAGAGUGCGAUAGGGGUAGAGGGAAUUCCCGGUGUAGCGGUGAAAUGCGUAGAGAUCGGGAAGAACACCGGUGGCGAAAGCGCUCUGCUGGGCCGCAACUGACACUGAGGGACGAAAGCUAGGGGAGCG